UACGUAGGGGGCAAGCGUUGUCCGGAUUUAUUGGGCGUAAAGAGCGUGUAGGCGGCCAGUUAGGUCCGUUGUGAAAACUCGAGGCUCAACCUCGAGACGCCGAUGGAAACCAACUGGCUAGAGUCCGGAAGAGGUGAGUGGAACUGCGAGUGUAGAGGUGAAAUUCGUAGAUAUUCGCAAGAACACCAGUGGCGAAGGCGGCUCACUGGUCCGGUACUGACGCUGAGGUGCGAAAGCGUGGGGAGCAAACAGG
rnacentral:rRNA from 1 species